rnacentral:rRNA from 1 species
UUACGGUCAAAUCACGCUGAAACACCGGUUCUCGCACGAUCACCGAAGUUAAGCAGCGUAGAGCCAGGUCAGUUAGAUGGGGGACCGCUUGGGAACACCUGGUACUGUAAG